CCUACGGGAGGCAGCAGUAAGGAAUAUUGGUCAAUGGAGGCAACUCUGAACCAGCCAUGCCGCGUGCAGGAAGACUGCCCUAUGGGUUGUAAACUGCUUUUAUCCGGGAAUAAACCUGCUUACGUGUAAGUAGCUGAAUGUACCGGAAGAAUAAGGAUCGGCUAACUCCGUGCCAGCAGCCGCGGUAAUACGGAGGAUCCAAGCGUUAUCCGGAUUUAUUGGGUUUAAAGGGUGCGUAGGCGGCCUGUUAAGUCAGGGGUGAAAGACGGUAGCUCAACUAUCGCAGUGCCCUUGAUACUGAUGGGCUUGAAUGGACUAGAGGUAGGCGGAAUGAGACAAGUAGCGGUGAAAUGCAUAGAUAUGUCUCAGAACACCGAUUGCGAAGGCAGCUUACUAUGGUCUUAUUGACGCUGAGGCACGAAAGCGUGGGGAUCAACAGGAUUAGAUACCCUGGUAGUCCACGCCCUAAACGAUGAACACUCGCUGUUGGCGAUACACAGUCAGCGCGAGACGAAGACGUUAGUUAGUUCCGUAACCGUGGGUAGGUUACGGCCCGCCGAAGGGUUAGGUAAACGUUAAAGUUAGUUAGUUAGGUUACGGGCGUUGAGGACGUUGCCGACGGACGACCGACGAGGGGAGGUUAGG
rnacentral:rRNA from 1 species